GCCUGCAACAAAGCAUGUCCCCCGAAAGGGGAAACCGGUUUUGGGGCAAGGACAUGCGUGAAAAAGAUUAAAGCGUGUCGUUUGAAUGUGACAAAGCGCGACACGCUUUAGAACAGAUGGGCAGUCGUUCCGUUCCGCCCCCUGCAUGCGAGAUCAAUAUUUUCCCGG
rnacentral:ncRNA from 1 species